GUCUUUUCGAGGUAGGAGUCGACUCCUGUGAGGUAUGGUGCUGGGUGCAGAUGCAGUGUGGCUCUGGAUAGCACCUUAUGGACAGUUGUGUCCCCAAGGAAGGAUGAGAAUAGCUACUGAAGUCCUAAAGAGCAAGCCUAACUCAAGCCAUUGGCACACAGGCAUUAGACAGAAAGCUGGAAGUUGAAAUGGUGGAGUCCAACUUGCCUGGACCAGCUUAAUGGUUCUGCUCCUGGUAACGUUUUUAUCCAUGGAUGACUUGCUUGGGUAAGGACAUGAAGACAGUUCCUGUCAUACCUUUUAAAGGUACAUGUUUUAUUGAUGUUAACGUUAAUUGAUUGAGCUACUGUUAGUGAUGAUUUUAAAAUUAAAGCAGAUGGGAAUCUCUCUGAGAAAGAAAAUGGAGAUUAAUCUUAAACUGAAACAGUAGUUGGGAAAUCUUUUAGAAAUCCACCUAUUACUACCUAUUGGUAAAGGAGAUUAAAUUUCUACAGGUAUGGAGAGUCGGCUUGACUACACUGUGUGGAGCAAGUUUUAAAGAAGCAAAGGACUCAGAAUUCAUGAUUGAAGAAAUGCAGGCAGACCUGUUAUCCUAAACUAGGGUUUUUAAUGACCACAACAAGCAAGCAUGCAGCUUACUGCUUGAAAGGGUCUUGCCUCACCCAAGCUAGAGUGCAGUGGCCUUUGAAGCUUACUACAGCCUCAAACUUCUGGGCUCAAGUGAUCCUCAGCCUCCCAGUGGUCUUUGUAGACUGCCUGAUGGAGUCUCAUGGCACAAGAAGAUUAAAACAGUGUCUCCAAUUUUAAUAAAUUUUUGCAAUCCAU
ensembl:lncRNA GAS5 growth arrest specific 5